AGCGAACGUUAGCGGCGGGCCUAACACAUGCAAGUCGAACGCGAAAGGUCUUCGGACUGAUUAGAGUGGCGCACGGGUGAGUAACACGUAGGUAAUCUACCCUUUGGCGGGGGAUAACGUUCCGAAAGGAGCGCUAAUACCGCAUAAGACCACGGAGUCUCCGGACGCUGUGGGAAAAGGUGGCCUCUUCUUGAAAGCUAUCACCGGAGGAUGAGCCUGCGUCCCAUCAGCUAGUUGGUAAGGUAAUGGCUUACCAAGGCAAAGACGGGUAGCUGGUUUGAGAGAAUGAUCAGCCACACUGGCACUGGAACACGGGCCAGACUCCUACGGGAGGCAGCAGUGAGGAAUAUUGGGCAAUGGGCGAAAGCCUGACCCAGCCACGCCGCGUGAGUGAUGAAGGCCCUCGGGUCGUAAAGCUCUGUGGAGAGGGACGAAAAACCUAGGGGUCUAAUAGGCCCGGACUUGACGGUACCUCUUUAGCAAGCACCGGCUAACUCUGUGCCAGCAGCCG
rnacentral:rRNA from 1 species